rnacentral:lncRNA from 1 species
CAGAAACAUGUUUUUAGCUCACCUGGCCUAAAAGGCCAUGUGAGCUUUUCUCAUCACUUGGCGUCCGUCGUCGUCGACGUCGUCGUCGUCGUCGUCGUCGACGUCGUCGUCGUCGUCGUCGUCGACGUCGUCGUCGUCGACGUCGUCGUCGUCGUUAACAAUUUUUCAAACAUCUUCUCCUCUGAAACUACUGAAUGGAUUUGAAUGAAACUUAAAAUGAUUGUUCCUUAGAUUAUCCUGCACAAAGUGUGUGCUUCGAUUUUUGAUCCGUCAAAAAACAUGGCCGCCAUUACUUAAAAUAGAACAUAGGGGUCAAA